AUUGAACGCUGGCGGCAGGCCUAACACAUGCAAGUCGAACGAGUGGCGGACGGGUGAGUAAUGUCUGGGAAACUGCCCGAUGGAGGGGGAUAACUACUGGAAACGGUAGCUAAUACCGCAUACCAUCGGAUGUGCCCAGAUGGGAUUAGCUAGUAGGUGGGGUAACGGCUCACCUAGGCGAGGAUCCCUAGCGGGUCUGGGAGGAUGACCAGCCACACGGGAACUGAGACACGGUCCAGCCUCCUACGUGCGGCAGCAGUGGGGAAUAUUGCACAAUGGGCGCAAGCCUGAUGCAUCCAUGCCGCGUGUAUGAAGAAGGCCUUCGGGUUUUAAAGUACUUUCAGCGAGGAGUCGUUACUCGCAGAAGAAGCACCGGCUAACUCCGUGCCAGCAGCCGCGGUAAUC
rnacentral:rRNA from 1 species